rnacentral:tRNA from 1 species
GGUCCUGUGGCCCAACGGAUAAGGCGCUUGACUACGAAUCAAGAGAUUCCAGGUUCGAAUCCUGGCAGGAUCG